rnacentral:rRNA from 1 species
UACAGAGGGUGCAAGCGUUAAUCGGAAUUACUGGGCGUAAAGCGUGCGUAGACGGUUAUGUAAGUCGGGUGUGAAAGCCCCGGGCUCAACCUGGGAAUUGCAUUCGAUACUGGAUAGCUAGGGUACGGAAGAGGGAAGCGGAAUUUCAGGUGUAGCGGUGAAAUGCGUAGAUAUCUGAAGGAACACCAGUGGCGAAAGCGGCUUCCUGGUCCAGUACCGACGUUCAGGCACGAAAGCGUGGGGAGCAAACAGG